UACAGAGGGUGCAAGCGUUAAUCGGAAUUACUGGGCGUAAAGCGCGCGUAGGUGGUAAGGUAAGUUGGAUGUGAAAUCCCUGGGCUUAACCUAGGAAUUGCAUUCAAGACUGCCUUGCUAGAGUACAGAAGAGGAAAGCGGAAUUCCACGUGUAGCGGUGAAAUGCGUAGAGAUGUGGAGGAACACCAGUGGCGAAGGCGGCUUUCUGGUCUGUAACUGACGCUGAGGCGCGAAAGCGUGGGGAGCAAACAGG
rnacentral:rRNA from 1 species